rnacentral:rRNA from 1 species
GAAUUGCAGAAUUCAGUGAAUCAUCGAAUCUUUGAACGCAACUUGCGCCCCUUGGUAUUCCGAGGGGCACGCCUGUUUGAGUGUCGUGAAUUNCUCCAC